rnacentral:snRNA from 1 species
GGAUGCUGCGCUUGGUCUUGAUGGUGGCGAUGGCAGCAUUGACACCUUUAGGAACCACGUCACCACGGUACAACAGGCAGGCUCGGCGGGCAUCCCCCUCCUACCUUACCACUCCAUGUGUGUCCCUCCUGAAGCUGCGAGUUCGGUGGAAGAGGACGACCAUCCUUGAUAGAUGAGGACUGGUCUUUGGUCAAGGGUAUACAAAUCCCCCACUGGAACCUCCAAACAAGCUCUCAAGAGUAAAGAAAAAUUAUAUCGUUUAGAAUUCACAUCUAUAUAAAGAAUAGCAUUAGAGAAGGAAUAAAGGCAAAAUAUAAUUCUUUUAUUU